GACAGCUUUAGGAGUGCCUCUAAAGACACCUGAUCCCAUCUGAUCUUGGAAGCUAAGUAGGGUCAGCCCUGGUUAGGACUUGAAUGGGAGAUCACCAAUGAAUACUAGGUGUUGUAGGCU
rnacentral:rRNA from 1 species